CGCUUAUUCUGCGACCUUACUACGCUUAUCAAGAUCUUUCUACGCUCAUCACGUUCUCACUACGACCAUACCACGAGUUAUCCGAUUGCAACACGAUCUUACCACGCUUCUACUGCGAUUAUAGCACGUUCUUACCACGAUUACACUACGUUCAAACCGCGAUCUUACUGCGCUCUCAGCAAUAACGUCAACAUCGUGUUCCAUAUCAAUACAGUAUCAUUCCUUCAGUUCUAUUUCUGAUUAAUACCAAUGUAAUACGUAGAUUUCUCGAAAAAAAAAAUACAGGCAUGCCACCAAAAUCUACUAGAACACGUGGGCGUGGUGUUAGGGUUGAUGUAAAGGCAAAUGGAGCUCUGAUAGUAACGAAUCUUGAUCAAGUAGAGAUGCCGGACCGACCAAUCCGACCUAAAUUACAACCUAUUGCUGGUCCAUAAAGCUGAAAUGACGAUAUUUUAGUGAACGAUAGCAGAUAUAAAACAGAUGUGUCAAUAUAUAUAGGAAGAUGUGGUAUGAGUGCCAAUGAGACAACUCUCAAUUCAAGUAACAAUUUUUAAAAGUAACAAUCAUAGGCCAAGAUACGGCCUUCAACACGGAGCCUUGGCUUACACCGAACAGCAAGAUAUAAAAGGCCCAAGAAAUUACUAGUGUAAAACCAUUCAAACGGGAAAACCAACGGUCUAAUCUAUAUGAAAACAAGAAGCAUGGUUGAACCGUUAGAGAAAAUGGACAAGAAGUCCCUAUUACAUAGAGACAAACAAAAC
rnacentral:lncRNA from 1 species